CAGCUCUCUAUAAAAUGGACCAAGCAGUAGGAUGUGGGUGGGGCCAGAUAAGGGAACGAAAGCAGGCCUCCCAAGCCAGGAGCGGCAAACUGCUGGGAUCCAUUUCCAUGCUGUGGACUCUUUGUGCUUUGCUCUUUGCAGUAAAUCUUGCUGCUGCUCACUUUUUGGGUCUGCACCACCUUUAUGAGCUGUAACACUCACCGCGAAGGUCUGCAGCUUUACACCUGAAGCCAGGGAGACCACGAACUCAUCAGGAGGAACGAACAACUCCAGACGCGCGGCCUUUAAGAGCUGUAACACUCAACGCGAAGGUCUGCAGCUUCACUCUUGAAGUCAGCGAAACCGCAAACCCACCAGAAGGAAGAAACUCCGGACACAUCUGAACACCUGAAGGAACAAACCCCGGACACACCAUCUCUAAGAACUGUAACACUCACCGCCAGGGUCCGCGGCUUCAUUCUUGAAUCAGUGAGACCAAGAACCCACCAAUUCCAGACACAGAAGUGUUUGUGGAAUUUAAUUACAAAAACUGAAAGGAGAGAAAACAAGAUGGCAUUGUUGCUAACCUGUGAGAAGUGAUGGGGGCCUGCCAGCUGAAUGCUAGCCCCUGGUGGGCUCAUGGUAACAACAGA
rnacentral:lncRNA from 10 species